CCUAAAAAGGAAAGCGAUCUGUGCAUCAGUCUACUUAGAUCAAUCAUCAUCCCCAUGAUGAUCAUCGACAGGGAGUUUUUAAAAAUUAAUCUAUAAUGACACAUGUCUUAAAUUUUCAACUCUUUGAGAGUAUGUGUCAUUGACCAUUAAUUUCAUAGAUGAUUCUAGGAUACAUUACUCUAGAAUGGAUAUAAUUGCUCAAUGAUUUUAAUUUCAAUAAAUUAAGUAUAAAUUUAUCCUAAAAAAUUACAAUGUGUCAGCCAAUAAUUGACUUUCUAG
rnacentral:lncRNA from 1 species